UACGUAGGGUCCGAGCGUUGUCCGGAAUUAUUGGGCGUAAAGGGCUCGUAGGCGGUCUGUUGCGUCGGGAGUGAAAACUUACAGCUUAACUGUGAGCGUGCUUCCGAUACGGGCAGACUUGAGGUAUUCAGGGGAGAACGGAAUUCCUGGUGUAGCGGUGAAAUGCGCAGAUAUCAGGAGGAACACCGGUGGCGAAGGCGAUUCUCUGGGAAUAUCCUGACGCUGAGGAGCGAAAGUGUGGGGAGCGAACAGG
rnacentral:rRNA from 1 species